GACGAACGCUGGCGGCGUGCUUAACACAUGCAAGUCGAACGGAAAGGCCUGCUAUCCCUUGUGGAUUGCGGGUACUCGAGUGGCGAACGGGUGAGUAACACGUGAGUGAUCUGCCCCCAACUUGGGUAUAAGCCUGGGAAACUGGGUCUAAUUCCCGAUAGGACUGCAGGGUGGUGCCUGUGGUGGAAAACGAUUUUCUAGUGGUUGGGGAUGAGCUCGCGGCCUAUCAGCUUGUUGGUGGGGUAAUGGCCUACCAAGGCGGCGACGGGUAGCCGGCCUGGGAGGGUGGACGGCCACAUUGGGACUGAGAUACGGCCCAGACUCCUACGGGAGGCAGCAGUGGGGAAUAUUGCACAAUGGGCGGAAGCCUGAUGCAGCGACGCCGCGUGGGGGAUGACGGCCUUCGGGUUGUAAACUCCUUUCGACCGCGAGGAAGCCACCUGGUUGGAAGGGUGGUGACGGUAGUGGUAGAAGAAGCACCGGCUAACUACGUG
rnacentral:rRNA from 1 species